GGGGAGGUCCAUUCGGAGGCGGGCGGCAGCCCCGGGGUCGCCAGUGACGUUGUGGAAGGCCGGGGCGUGGCUUCCUGGGUGGAUACAUGGCAUCUGUGGCUCCUGGGCAAAAAGAAGAAUAGAGGUGAGGGAGAGAAGAAGGGAGAAAGGAGGGGAGGUGCGGCGUCCUAGGCGGGAGCUCGCCGGAGCGGGGCGACGGUGGGCGGGCGCGGGAGACGGAGGGAUUUACAGCCGGCCGGUCGAGCGACACCAACCAGGCCACGGGUGGCGUACACUUUCAGCAGGUAAUUGAUUCAUCUCCCCUCUUUUCCUACUCCCCCUCGAUCUGGUCCUCAAUCGCCAUGUUCUUCAGCUGCUGUCAAAUUGCAUUGGCCUAUCAAAUUUUGUAAUAUACAGAUGCUAUUAUGCUGUCAAAUUCCAUCGGUCUACAUAUUCCAUGUCCAAAGUAAAGAAAUUCAGAUGUUGCAGCUUGAAAACAAGCAAAAACAUGAUCAGUCAUCUGCAGAAUUAAUCUACAUGUAAAUAAGAUUUCUCUUCCAACCAUCUUUCAAAGAUAAAAUCAUACAGCUAAUGAAUCACUUUUAACUAAUACAAGUACACACCACAUUCAGCUCGAUAAUUGGUCAUCUCCCUCCCAUUUUUUGUUUUCUAUUUCCGGUUCAAUCAAGUCAGGACAUCACAGUUCUACAACGCCAUUUUCCCAUCACAUUCAUAGCAAGCCUGCAAGUUCCUUCUAUUCACAACAGUACCUAGCACAUACACAAGUUUGUUGGCCGCCGGAGUUGCUGCACUCGUGGUCGUCGGAGUCUGCCGCCAUGAUCAUGCUCCACAUGCAUGUGGUCUUCGAGUCAGUGUGAUGCCCAUGUGGUUGUCCUCUAGCAGAGCCACGUUGACCGAGCGUGGGAGGUGUGUGGCCGACGGCCGCCCCGCUUGUGGUUCUCUUGGUGUCACUGGCUGUUAGGACACCUAUUUCUGCUUCCUUCUGGAUGAACAAGGGAGAUGGACGUGUCAGUAGAAUUUGAUCUGAAUUGAUCGAUCGGUUUCUUUUGAUGGCUUUUUGUGACAUGACACAUGAUUGAGAAUUAACUUGCUUCAAGAUCUGGUUCACCUCAAACCUCUUUUCCAAAUAUCAAUGGGCUGCCAUUCUCGGAAAUGUAUGAUAUGAUGUACCUUUUUUACUUUGGACUAUCAUUAUGCCAACUCCAAAAUUGGAGUAUUAGUAUGCAUACUCCAGAAAGUUUUUGUGGUCCUGAUACGCACAUCAUGAAGUUGGUAACUGUUGUCGUAUUUACAUUCAGAUUUGACAGGAAUAGAAACUGAACCUAUUAAAUAGUUAUGUUAAGCUAGAUGGGUUAUAACUCUUCAUGCAUUCAUUUUCUGAAUUGUUGUUUAAACAAUGUGAGUAUGAGAAGUUUAACGUCUAUUUUUUAUCGUGAUUGCAGAAAAUGGACCACAACGAUGAACCAACUACUAUUCAGGAUUUUGAUAACCGGCCUUAACAAAAAACAUUCUGAAUUGAGUGUUUUGCAUUCAGAUAAACUAAUAGAUGGUGAUGAAUUUCCAUCACCAACUAUUUCAACAUCAUCUUUGGUCUUCAUAACCAGAUAGACACAUGAACCUCUGCCACCACUGUUAAGCAGUACCUCAGGUGAACUAUCAGCACUGCCUGUCGUCCAACAAUAACAAGCUCAGGUGUUGUAUAUGUAACCAGUUAAUAUACGUGCAAAACUUGCACAUACCCAAAAGCUGGCUGCCAGAUGAUUCCUACGAGAGAACGA
rnacentral:lncRNA from 1 species